rnacentral:rRNA from 1 species
GACGAACGCUGGCGGCGUGCCUAAUACAUGCAAGUCGAACGCUUCUUUCCUCCCGAGUGCUUGCACUCAAUUGGAAAGAGGAGUGGCGGACGGGUGAGUAACACGUGGGUAACCUACCCACCAGAGGGGGAUAACACUUGGAAACAGGUGCUAAUACCGCAUAACAGUUUAUGCCGCAUGGCAUAAGAGUGAAUGGCGCUUUCGGGUGUCGCUGAUGGAUGGACCGGCUGUGCAUUAGCUAGUUGGUGAGGUAACGGCUCACCAAGGCCACGAGGCAUAGCCGACCUGAGAGGGUGAUCGGCUACACGGGGACUGAGACACGGACAAGACUCCUACGGGAGGCAGCAGUAGGGAAUCUUCGGCAAUGGUCGAAAGUCUGACCGAGCAACGCCGCGUGAGUGAAGAAGGUGUUCGGAUCGUAAAACUCUGUUGUUAGAGAAGAACAAGGACGUUAGUAACUGAACGUCCCCUGACGGUAUCUAACCAGAAAGCCACGGCUAACUACGUG